UACGGGGGGGGCAAGCGUUGUUCGGAAUUACUGGGCGUAAAGGGCUCGUAGGCGGCCAACUAAGUCGGACGUGAAAUCCCCAGGCUCAACCUGGGAACUGCGUCCGAUACUGGAUGGCUUGAAUCCGGGAGAGGGAUGCAGAAUUCCAGGUGUAGCGGUGAAAUGCGUAGAUAUCUGGAGGAACACCGGUGGCGAAGGCGGCAUCCUGGGCCAACACUGACGCUGAGGAGCGAAAGCCAGGGGAGCAAACGGG
rnacentral:rRNA from 1 species